ACACACCGCCCGUCACACCAUGAGAGUUGAGAAUACCCGAAGUCCAUGUCAAAGUGGCCGAAGGUAGGCUUGAUGAUUGGGGUGAAGUCGUAACAAGGUACC
rnacentral:rRNA from 1 species